UAGAGCUGUAUGGCUCUGUGUUCAGUAUGGCUCUGAAAGCCAGAGGGCGCUCUUGCGCAGAAACUGCAAAUAUACCCUGCCCCAGAAGAAGAUAACACCCAUCAUAUCGCUGUAGCUGAAUAAACAGAAGAUUGAAAUGCUUUGAUUAAACAUGACUAAUAAACACACGACUGCCUUAUUCUGUGUAAGAAGCCACAUCAUCUCACAGAAGGACGUUCAACUGUCGUUGUGAAUUUUUUUUUCUUCUGGGAAGAGUGAUAUGGUGAGCACGGGAUGUGCAAGUGCUGUGCCGGGCCCAUAGGCAGGGAUGCGGCACCAGUGGGAUUCAUUAGGAUUUCCGAGUAAAUGUGUGGGUUUGUGCAAAACCAAAGGUAAAUGACUACAGUUUGCUCAAUGGCUUGUGUGUGAGCCGCAGACUGAUGGGGUCAAGGUCUAUGAAUUCUGAAUCUAAUACGGAGACAGUCUUUGAAAAGCUUUCCACCUAGGUGAGAGCCAGACAUUUUUCCAUUCUUCAAAACGGACAUUAACAUUUUACAUUUGGUUGCCAAAUUUCCAUGUAAUUACAUUCAAAUGACAUUGAAAUGUGGGUACAACAAUAACCUCCUGACACUGGGCUACAUUCUGUCGGUAGCGAUUACAAAAGCAACUCAUUAAAGCUAUUGUGCAACCUAAAAAUGUCACAUAUAGCCUUAAAAACUGAAAACAUUUUAUUAUGGCUCCUCAAGCUAACAAUAAAACGAACUGGCAAAAAGAAUACAAUGUAGGACAUUCAUGUGAAAUAGAAUUAUUUGAGAAAAUAAUAAUGAUAAUAAAUUAAGCUAUUGCUAGUGUUGUAGUCAAGACUACCUAAACUGAGACCAAGUCAAGACCAAGACCAGUGUGUGUUGAGACCAAGACAAGACCAGGAUUUCCGUUAAAUAAUACAUUAAAUUUCUAUUUGUUUUUCACCAAACCUUAUUGAAUACCCCCAGAACACUUUGAAUGUACAACACGUGUCACAUGGGAUCACUCUGUGAUACUUUUGAGUCUUUUUAAAAAGGAUUGAUUGUCGAGCGAUUGAUUGUUUUUAAUUCUCCUUUUACGAUCCAAAAAAGAAAGAAAGGGCAUACGACAUUAGAACAACACCAGGGUGAGUAAAUGAUGGCUUAAUUUUCAUUUUAGGGUGAAAUAUCCCUUUAAUAUUUUUCUCACGUAGUAUACAAUUCAAUAUACUGUAUAGCUGUAUUUAUAUUUUAGGAACAGGAUAUCAGGAUAACAAAACACAAGGAUAUCAUCAUUCUGUAUGUGAGGGUCCUUGGGGGGUCUGAAAAAUCCAGGUUUAAAAGGUCCAGUAUGUAAUAUUUAGGAGGAUUUAUUGACAGAAAUGCAAUAUAAUAUACAUGACUAUGUUUUCAGUGGUGUAUAAAGAACUUACAUAAUGAACCGUUAUGUUUUUAUUACCUUAGAAUGAGCCAUUUCUAUCUACAUACACCGCGGGUCCCCUUACAUGGAAAUCGCCAUUUUGCACCGUCAUGUUUCUACAGUAGCCCUAAAUGGACAAACUGUUCUACAGAGUGCUUUUGCUUGACUGGCUACUCUCUUCUGUCUCAGGCGAUGACAUGUUUGUCCUGUAUCAGCCACCAUAGCUUCUCUACCUGCUUCAAAAAGGAGGAGUGAGUGGUGGACUGAGCCAUUGGUUGCAAUUCGCAACCUCAUCGCUAGAUGCCGCUAAAAUGUACACACUGAACCUUUACAGCAAAAGCACUGAAAUAUAAUUUUUUCUCCCAUCAUUUUUUUUUUUUACUUCAUGUCCCACUUAACCUACAGUACAUACACUACUGCAUAUGAAAAAACAGCAUGAAUAGUAUAUUUUUUCAUAACAUACUGUACUCUCUCUUUUCACUUAAACCGAAAGUAUACUUCGGCUGUCCGUGUGAGAUAAUUUGCGUCAUCAGGAGGGACCGUGGACGUCCACACACACUGCCCAAUUUUUGUGUCUGCGCAGACAGUGUGCGUACAACAAAAAACAAAGUCCACUAGAUAGUGCACAUGCAGCGAUAACAUCUUUCCACGCUCACGGCCAAAGGAGUACAUUUGAAAGGCUCGCGCUCUCAGCUGUGCGUGAGACGGAGCGGAACGCGGAAAAUGAAGUAUACCCGGGCCUUUAUCUGUAGCCAUUACCUCCUGAUGGGAUAUCCUAACUGCUAUAAAACCUGAAUCAGUAUUCAGAGCAUUUCUAUAGGUCUAGCAUUGAUCGCUGCAUGCAUAGGGUAGAAUGCAUUUGCAAGUAAGAAUUGAUGGAAACUGUUCAGAACUCCAUUUGCUCAGAGAUCCAGAGACACAUUGCACAGAGAUACCGUGCACUAUGGUUAUUUGCAAAAAGCAAAAACAG